GGGCCAUACAAAUAAUGAGGGGGGGACCUACUGUAUGAUGUUGUAUCGAUCAGGUAGUGUAAGGGUUACGCCCGCUUCACAGUGACAGACCAAACUCCCCGUUUAACGCACCGCAAAAAAACGCAAACAGUCCAUUUGCACAACCGCAAACUCCCCAUUUGCACAAGGUUGGAUACCAAGCUAGCCAUGUCCCGUUCCUUGUCCUCACUGAUGUCAUUGAAGGUCUCUUCCUCCACCCAGCCACGUACAACACCAAGGGUCCCAACCACAAAAGACCCACGAACUGGUAAGGAAUGGAUCCGCGACCCAUUUGCCAACAAAUCAGGCGAAUAUAGCAUGUCUAUGCAAAAAGAAGAACAACUGCUGGAGAUUGCAAAUGACGGUGGCCUUAAAACUAUGUUCGAGACAACAACUCUGCCGGUGUUCUGGAUUAAAGUCAUGGCGGAAUACCCUGAGACUGCCACCACAGCACUUAAAUCCCUAUUGCCAUUUCCGACAACCUAUCUGUGUGAAGCAGGGUUUUCUGCAGUGACAGCAACCAAAACAAAACAGCGGAAUAAACUGGACAUAAGCAACACACUUCGGGUGUCAUUGUCUCCUAUUACCCCCAGAUGGAACCGUCUCGUUGCGAAG